ensembl:snRNA U6 U6 spliceosomal RNA
GUGCUUGUUUCAACAGCAUUUAUACUAAAAUUGUAACGAUACAGAGAAGAUUAACAUGGCUCUUGCGCAAAGAUGACAUGCAAAUUCGUGAAGCAUUCCAUUAUUUU